UAAUACCCCUGAUAACCUUACAAGCAGAACCGACUCUUGGAGUAGACGUAUGAGGGAAAAGUACGGGCUCGAUACAUCGGAAUACACAUACAACCCGUCUGAGUCGAACAGGUACCAGCAAUCUACAACACAACCAUCCGAGGAAAGAAGUCGUGGCUGCACCAUUAUGUAAUGUGACGGCCUGUUUGAUUUCAUGUUGCACCGAAAGUGAAAUCUCUGUUUUUGAAUCGGACUGUAAUUAUGCUGUGCCGGGUAUUUGUAUCUUAUCUGAGUAAUAAUAACACCGUUUGGAAUUGGGAGUGACACGUUGUUUUGUCGUAUCUUCUUAGUUUAAAGUCGUGAUAGUCGUGUUUCUAAGCUAUUAUUGUGUUCUCUCAGAUGCUGUUCGGUGCCUCUUAUACGAUUAUUAGCAGAUGGAUGUAUGUUACUAUGAUUUGUAGUUUGCUUCGAUAAG